ACCGGCAGCUCAAGUGGUGGAAAUUUUUAUAGGGCCUAAAGCGUUAGUAGCCGGUGUGAUAAGUCUCUGGUGAUAUCACGCAGCUUAACUGUGGGACUUGCUGGAGAUAAUAUUAGACUUGAGGUCAGGAGAGGUUAGGGGUACUCCCAGGAUAUGGGUGAAAUCAUAUAAUCCUGGGAGGACCACCUGUGGCGAAGGCGACUAACUGGAACGAACCUGACGGUGAGUAACGAAAGCCAUGGGCGCGAACCG
rnacentral:rRNA from 1 species